GCAAGUCGAACGAAGCACCUCUAACCGAUUUCUUCGGAUUGACGUUGUUGGUGACUUAGUGGCAAACGGGGGAGUAACACGUGGGUGACCUACCCCGGAGUGGAGCAUAACAGAGGAAAACUGCUGCUAAUUCUCCAUGGUCUUGCACCUCUUGUGGUGCAAGUAAAGAUUUACGCUCCGGGAUGGGCACGCGGUCCAUCAGCUAGUUGGUAGGGUAAAGGCCUACCAAGGCGACGAUGGAUAGCCGGCCUGAGAGGGGGAAC
rnacentral:rRNA from 1 species